CGCUGAUCCGCUUUACCUCUACUACCUGACCUCUAAGAUCUUCAUCUACUAAGAUGCCAACUCCAUUCCUACGCCUCUCUCUCCCAGAGUACCAAAGCUUGUAACCAUCCACAUCCUUUGCCUUAAACCCUACCCAUUUGGUCUCUUGAACACACGCAGUAUUAAUCCUCCUCUUUCUAAGAAUCUUCACAAACUCUAUAGACUUACCCUGAAGAGUCCCUAUAUUUCAAGACCCAACCCUCAGCCUACCAACUCUAUCAACACGUCUUCCUUUAUCG
rnacentral:lncRNA from 1 species